CUACGGGUUGCAGCAGUGAGGAAUAUUGCACAAUGGGGGGAACCCUGAUGCAGCAACGCCGCGUGGAGGAUGACGCAUUUCGGUGUGUAAACUCCUUUUAUAUGUCAAGAAAAUGACGGUAGCAUAUGAAUAAGCACCGGCUAACUCCGUGCCAGCAGCCGCGGUAAUACGGAGGGUGCAAGCGUUACUCGGAAUCACUGGGCGUAAGGACGCGUAGGCGGGUUGGAAAGUCAGGUGUGAAAUCCUACAGCUUAACUGUAGAACUGCACUUGAAACUUCUAAUCUAGAGUAUGGGAGGGGGAGAUGGAAUUAGUGGUGUAGGGGUAAAAUCCGUAGAUAUCACUAGGAAUACCUAAAGCGAAGGCGAUCUUCUGGAACAUUACUGACGCUAAGGCGUGAAAGCGUGGGGAGCAAACAGGAUUAGAUACCCGGUAGUC
rnacentral:rRNA from 1 species